CAGAUAUGGCAAAUAGUUCUGGGAGGAAGGAGUAGAUCCUGGUGAUGUUGGGUCACAGCUCUUUCCCUUUCUUUCAUCUCUCUACCUCCAUAGUGAGAUAGUGGAUUCGGGGGAAUAAUGUUUGGUCAUGACUACACUUAAGGUGUCUGCUCAGCUACCCCUUCCCAUCAAAACUGAAAUGUAAGUAGCAACUGUACCAAGAAAAGGGAUUUUAAAGACAGCAAGGCAGGAGGUGGUUCAUGGGUUUCUUCUCCACAGUAAGUUAGCAGUGUAAAGAUCUGAAGAGUAGAAGAGUUCCUGAUGGAAUGCAAUGAUGGAAAUAUGCACCAUUAUUUGAGGGUGUUUUUUUGCAAAUUCUUUGUUGUAAAAAGUUAUUUUUUUUCCUUUAUGAGACCUCAGUGGGAUGGCUCCAACUUUUCACUCCUCUUUUCAGACAGUUCUGUAUGCAAGAUGCUCUUUUCCUACUUGUUGUGUUAUUACUCCUGUAAACAAUGCUUUGUUAUUUUGAGUAUGUCUGUGAGAGGGGGAUGGGUGUUGCACUUAAAAAGGACAGUCUGAGUAGUAAGAGGAUGCAGGUUAGCAGCAGGGACAUACUUAAUAUAGCUAUUGAUAUAUGAAGGUAACAUUUUAUAUUACUCAUUUAUAUUUAUGUAAAUGGACUGGAAAAAUAUCAGCCUUGUAGAAGUGCCAGAUUAAUGAUUAAAUGCAUCACUUCUGUUCUGAGUAAUAGUCCCAUCUUUAGAGUCAAAAUAGAUGUGACAUGAAACAAAAGUAUCUUAGCCAUUUUAGAUUUAAAUGCAUAUUUAUAAAAAUGGUUUACCAGUUUUGUUGUUGUAAAUGAAGGAAUGAUAUAUGAUAGGAAUGCCAAACUGUAGGAGAAACUGCAAUAUUUUGAAAGAGCAGACUGAAACGGUUCAGGUACUCUAAGUAAACAGAAAUGUACAUGGUCUGAAUUUCCUACCUGCCACCUCCUGACCCUGUUGUGAUUCAUCUUUCAAGAAAUGUGACUAAGUUAUAGUUUAGAAAUAAAAUAAAACAUUUCUAAUACAGUGCAUACAACUUCUGUCUUAUUCAAACAUAACGAACACAAAAUAAAAUGAUAAUAUGAA